rnacentral:misc_RNA from 1 species
GUAGGAACACGACUCACGCCCAGUGCUCUCCAGCGUAUUUACUGACUGAAAAACUCGCCCUGCUGUAGGGCGAUUGAAUUUCUGUUGUGAUCGAGCAAUCUCGGUAACAAGUGGUCAAGCAUUGAGGGCUGGAUUCGCGCCACCUUAUCGUAGUAUCGCCGCACGACCAGCGUCUACACUGCUUGUCCGCAUCUACUCAUCAUCCCUGCGACCCCUUCCCCCAACCCCCUCCCACUUCCAUCCUCUCUCCCCUCUACCUGCUACAUCGGAUCCCGAGGCGGCGCAGCCACCUGUGUGUGUGAUUGCGUUUACCUGUCAGGUAAAGACAACGAGGCGGUGACGACAGCUUGCUUACCUUGAUCAGCUACGCCCACCGGUGGGCGGGAGAGAUAGGAAUCGCGCGCAGGCAGUGCCUUAGCGUGGGUGAAUAUCAGAAGACAAUAUAAGAGCAUCGAAGAUUCCCGUACUCGUUGUAUCCGUGUUUCUCGUGAAGGCAUUCUAGCUUCCUGCGAUCGGAGGAGAAGGCAGGCGGUAGAGUAGGUGACAUCAGAUGCUUCCGGUACUUUCUCUGUCACUGUGUUUCUCGACUAGGCUAUCUUGACUUUACACGGUAGGCAGUGGAGACAACUGAGAAUUUCUGAGAAAACAGUGUUCUCGAGAGAACAGAUCUUCUGUGUUCUAUUUCUCUACGUGUUUCUGCCGCGGAACGUCAUCCUGGCCUCCUACAAUCCGGCGUGGUCUUUCGGUAAUUUCCGUGGAGGAGGAAGAGGAGGAACCGGAGGAGGAGGAGCAGGAGGAGGCAGCGUACAGAUUAUAACCAACAUGUUUGAUCAACUGAAAGAACUGGUCAGUGACGUCACGAGUCAAGUGUUGCAGAAGAAUGUGAAGGCUGCGAGCGACGUCGAGUAUCCGGCGUACGGCGUGACGGGGCCGCACAAGGAUGCCAAGCAGGCGGGCGGCGACCGCAAGCUGGCACAGAGCGCACAGAUGUACCACUACCAGCAUCAGAAGCAGCAGAUGAUUGCGCUCGAGAAGGCAAGCAGCGAGAUGAAGGACAAUGUGUCGGAUGAUGAGAGCGGGGAGGAGGACGAGGAGGGAGACUACACCGUCUACGAGUGUCCAGGCCUCGCACCGACCGGCGAGAUGGAGGUGAGAAACCCGUUGUUCACCGACACCAGAACACCGCACGCGAGCGACAACGGGGAGGAGCAACGCGACUCCGACCCGUAGAUUCCUUCCCCGCCCACCAGGGGGCGCCGCUGCCACGCCGAGGAGCGUCCGCGCGCCGCUGCCGAGUCGCUGAUCACGCCUACCGAGGGAGCCAGGUUGCCGGGGUCGUCGUUUCGAGCUGCCUCUUGUUGUUUUUUAAAUCGUCGUUGUUGUCGACUAACCAGAACUAACGGGUCGCGAGACAUUUGGUUGUUUUUUUGCAUUUUUUAAUCGCACGACAGACAACUAACCACCACCUCCCCAGGGGUCUCACUCAUCGAGAAUUUUUUUAUUUUUAAAUGAGUCACGUACUUGUCGUGCACGGAGCAGACGAAAACGACGCCCAGACCCUUCCCGAUAUCCCGCUCUCCCGCUAUCCCGCUCGCAAGUCACACGGCUUCUCGAUUUGUUAUUAUUAGGAUUAUUAUCAUUGUGAUUGUUUAUGUUGUUGUUAUUAUUAUUAUUAUUAUUAUUGGAAGCUAAAUCAUUCCGGCGAGCGAACGAUGCGGUAUCAGGCGCGCAGGAGGCGUGUCGGCAUAGGCGAGAUGCGCGCGGCAGUGGUGCCCUCUAGUGGGAAAAAUGAGUACCGUAGAGAUGUUGACGAUGGUCGUUAGUUUAAUUCCCCGGAAACCUGCUGGGUGACACUAUCGGGAAUUCUCCCCCCCCCCCCUGCAUUCCGAGAUUUUUAACGCGCCCCGACGUGACAAGGAAGUGGACGUCGGCGGUUUUUCCCCCACUUUUAAACAAAAAAUCUCUGCGGAUUUCGCUCUCGGACAUUCCGCGCAGAGUCGGCGUGGUGGUUUUUAUCUGGUCGCUAUGGCGACGACCGACCAAUACUCUUGAUUCGUUACCGGAAAAUCCUAGACGUUGACAUGUACAUUGUAAGAUAUAUAUCUCAAGGGCAGCCCCCAGGUUUGGCUGGCCCGAAAACCAACGCAGGUUUACGGCGUCAGUCCACUGCGCCCAGUUCAAGACUGGCUGCCCCCCCCCCAAUCCACGUCCCAUGAUUCUACCCCAAAGAUGUGUGUAUAUACGGUAUAUAUAUAUGAAUGAAUAUAUAUAUAUAUAUAUGUUGUUGUAUAUUGUAUAUUUUAUCAAGUGUGAGAGAUACAAAAAGAGAAACGGAGAGAGAGAGGAAGAGAAAGUCGAAUCGAUUCGAAAUCAGGACUUGGUACAUUCCGUGUAGACCACCUGCUGUGACGUAACUGCCGGGGCGCAUACUGUCACCGUCACUACCCCCUCGCAGAGAAAAUCCGAUAACCGGAUUCACCCCCUCUACGCGGGUCUAAAGUGAGAACGCAAGUCAUUCCUCGAGUUGGAAGCUAUUAAUAUAUAUUUGAAAUCGCCGUGUGGGCCACAGAACGCCGCCCCUGACCCCACCCCCUACACUGUCGCCCCCGCCGCCUACACCAUCACCCCUGACCCUCAUAGCACUGCCCCGCCCCUCAGUGGGCGUGGCUGGUGUUGCGGAGGGUGGAUAAAGGGACGUCACAUCUAGUCAUGGGGGCGUGACGAUCGAACGGAGAGGCGAUCGGACGUAAUCCUGUUAGAAUGGCGGCAAAUCGAAGUGCUCGAUGGGGACCACAUGAAAGUCCAGAAUGAAGUCAUGUUGUUUUGCGGCGCCUGUCCCUCAUA